ACUAGUGAUUAGAGUUUGAUCCUGGCUCAGGAUGAACGCUGGCGGCGUGCCUAAUACAUGCAAGUCGAGCGAACGGAUUAAGAGCUUGCUCUUAUGAAGUUAGCGGCGGACGGGUGAGUAACACGUGGGUAACCUGCCCAUAAGACUGGGAUAACUCCGGGAAACCGGGGCUAAUACCGGAUAACAUUUUGAACCGCAUGGUUCGAAAUUGAAAGGCGGCUUCGGCUGUCACUUAUGGAUGGACCCGCGUCGCAUUAGCUAGUUGGUGAGGUAACGGCUCACCAAGGCAACGAUGCGUAGCCGACCUGAGAGGGUGAUCGGCCACACUGGGACUGAGACACGGCCCAGACUCCUACGGGAGGCAGCAGUAGGGAAUCUUCCGCAAUGGACGAAAGUCUGACGGAGCAACGCCGCGUGAGUGAUGAAGGCUUUCGGGUCGUAAAACUCUGUUGUUAGGGAAGAACAAGUGCUAGUUGAAUAAGCUGGCACCUUGACGGUACCUAACCAGAAAG
rnacentral:rRNA from 1 species